rnacentral:rRNA from 1 species
AAUCAACGCUGGCGGCGUGCCUAACACAUGCAAGUCGAACGCGAAAGUCCCGCAAGGGAUGAGUAGAGUGGCAAACGGGUGAGUAACGCGUGGGUGACCUGCCUUCGAGCGGGGGAUAACGUCCCGAAAGGGACGCUAAUACCGCAUAACAUCCCGCUUUUCAACAAGUGGAGAUCAAAGCUGGGGAUCGCAAGACCUAGCACUCGAAGAGGGGCCCGCGUCUGAUUAGCAGUUGGUGAGGUAACGGCUCACCAAGGCGACGAUCAGUAGCCGGCCUGAGAGGGCGGACGGCCACACUGGGACUGAGACACGGCCCAGACUCCUACGGGAGGCAGCAGUGGGGAAUUUUUCGCAAUGGGCGCAAGCCUGACGAGGCAACGCCGCGUGGAGGAUGAAGGCC